rnacentral:rRNA from 1 species
ACGUACACUCCUACGGGAGGCAGCAGUGGGGAAUAUUGGACAAUGGGCGCAAGCCUGAUCCAGCCAUGCCGCGUGAGUGAUGAAGGCCCUAGGGUUGUAAAGCUCUUUCACCGGUGAAGAUAAUGACGGUAACCGGAGAAGAAGCCCCGGCUAACUUCGUGCCAGCAGCCGCGGUAAUACGAAGGGGGCUAGCGUUGUUCGGAUUUACUGGGCGUAAAGCGCACGUAGGCGGACUAUUAAGUCAGGGGUGAAAUCCCGGGGCUCAACCCCGGAACUGCCUUUGAUACUGGUAGUCUUGAGUUCGAGAGAGGUGAGUGGAAUUCCGAGUGCAGAGGUGAAAUUCGUAGAUAUUCGGAGGAACACCAGUGGCGAAGGCGGCUCACUGGCUCGAUACUGACGCUGAGGUGCGAAAGCGUGGGGAGCAAACAGGAUUAGAUACCCCAGUAGUCCC